rnacentral:lncRNA from 1 species
UUCCUGAUUUCUAAUAAUCAACUGCUAUAGGAUGUUGGGGCUCAGAAAACAAAACCCCAGAGUGAAGGGUUUGACAAAAGGGUCAAAGUGCAAGUCUUGUCCAGGAGGAAGUAGAUAAUUCUGUGUAAUGAGAGAAUAAAAUAGGAGUAAGGAGUUGCAGGAGACCUGGACUGGGCAUUCCUAUUGAAGGAAGAUUAUGAAUAUUGUUCGUGCCAAGCCAAGAACUAAAGACUUUCUGUUAUAAGCCUAUAGAGAUUAAGAAUUUAAUUAAGAAGCAGCAGAACUUGUAGUUGGCACAACCCCCAGCAAACAUGGUAGAAAAAAACACCACUGAGCAGGAAAGCCAACUGCAACCAGCAACCAUCCCCAAAAAUGCAGUAUAAAAGAAACCUGGAGAGAAAAAUCUGGCACACUGGAGAGACCACUCAACCCUCAGGGGGAAUGCACAAAAAGUAACAGGCAAAUGCAGCUGAUAUGCAACAUGGGAAGAUAAACAUGAGCUUUCCCAUACACCUCUGGCAACUAUGCAAUUAUCUCAGGCUCCAUUGCUACUCAGGGCAAGAAGAACUCUCGAGGCAUCUGACGGCCAGAAAGUGGACAGGAGCAGUGACAGCACCCCUUGGAAAAGGGGAAUUGGAAUGAUUCUUAUUUGAGAUCUAGUCAUUUAAGUUAUGCCCGUAGCCUCAGCAGGAUCAGCCCACAAAGGACUUCAGGAUAAGAGAAAAUAUACAAAAUUUCUCAAAAAAUGAUAGAAGACAAAUUGUACCAGAAGCUCUUAAAGAGGUAUCAACAGCUGCUGUGGGAACUGAAGGUUAGAAAGGGUAAUAGGUCUUGGGGUUCUGGAAAGGUCCACGAAGGAGCAGAACUUUUUAAUCUGAGCCUUAAAAGGAAAGGAGGUAUGAGGUGGAAGUUUAUUUAUAUAAAUGCCAAUUACACCCAGCAAACCGAUAAUAUAAAAAUGAUAGGAGUCGCCUAGACGACUGGCUCCAGGCAGCUAACAUGUGCUCUUUAUUAUUUUCAAGACAGAGUUGAGACUAAGCAUAAGGAGAAAAGACUGAACUGAACAAAGAUGUGAUCACUCAUAUUAUAUACACACAUUGCAUUGUUAAAGGGAUCUUCUAGUUUUAAUAGAGUUAGGAGAAAGUAGGUUGCCAAAUUUAAAACAAUGUUCUUUUUGGAGUUUUUUGCCAUCAAAAAAGUAACAUUUCCUUAGGUCAUACAAUACAGUAAUUCAAAAAUAGGUGAAUAUGUAUGUAUGUAUUUUUUGCAUGAAUGUGUUUAUAAUAGAUUUUUUAUGUAUCCAGAAAUGUAACUUAGACUAUCAUGUCCUCACAGUCAACCAAAUUUGUUUAAAAUUACUUUAUUUAAACUAAUUUUCCAAUUUCAACAUGUGUACAGCUAAUACCUUUUCUUCCAUGCUGAGCUCUUCUCUAAGCUGUUUGCUAAAAUGAAGCCUUAUUUUUGAUUCUCUGAAACUACUGCCCUGGCUUACACACAUCUCUUGUAACAGUCCAUGAUUUGAAUACCAUAUGUG